rnacentral:lncRNA from 1 species
AACCAACACACAGGACGUAGGGUAUUACAUGAUCUAGUGGCCCGAACCUGUCUAAAUCGUGUUCCUUGUGUCACCAUCGACUCCUUGAUUCUUGACGACACCUAUCACAUAAAAGAACCACCUUAGGUACUCCCUAGGUGGGUUGCCGGUCUAAAACACCGACACCCAGCCCACCAAUAGCUUGAGCGUUUUCCCUAUUUGCCAGUUCAGACAUUUGGCUUCACUGAUUUGCCACUGCCAACUAUGGCUUCGCCGAUUUACCAAUAAUAACACCUACAACCUUGUUUUUCUUGCCACUAUGCUGUUUCCAAUCCAUUUUAAUUCUCUCUCCGAUACAUACCCACCUGAAAUGACAAUCUUACGCCUUAUACCUUUCCUAAGUGCUCACAUUCCAGAUAAGGCUGUUCGGAGCUAUUCUCGAGUACUGAUAGGACAAGCGCCAUGGCAGAUCCAGGUCCUAGCGUCACUCCUACCAAAAUUUGUGUGCUGCAGUCUGAUUGACAUGAAACAUUGAGAAUUAAUUU